GACGAACGCUGGCGGCGUGCCUAAUACAUGCAAGUAGAACGCUGAAGAGAGGAGCUUGCUCUUCUUGGAUGAGUUGCGAACGGGUGAGUAACGCGUAGGUAACCUGCCUUGUAGCGGGGGAUAACUAUUGGAAACGAUAGCUAAUACCGCAUAACAAUGGAUGACACAUGUCAUUUAUUUGAAAGGGGCAAUUGUUCCACUACAAGAUGGACCUGCGUUGUAUUAGCUAGUAGGUGAGGUAAUGGCUCACCUAGGCGACGAUACAUAGCCGACCUGAGAGGGUGAUCGGCCACACUGGGACUGAGACACGGCCCAGACUCCUACGGGAGGCAGCAGUAGGGAAUCUUCGGCAAUGGGGGCAACCCUGACCGAGCAACGCCGCGUGAGUGAAGAAGGUUUUCGGAUCGUAAAGCUCUGUUGUAAGUCAAGAACGGGUGUGAGAGUGGAAAGUUCACACUGUGACGGUAGCUUACCAGAAAGGGACGGCUAACUACGUGCCAGCAGCCGCGGUAAUACGUAGGUCCCGAGCGUUGUCCGGAUUUAUUGGGCGUAAAGCGAGCGCAGGCGGUUUGAUAAGUCUGAAGUUAAAGGCUGUGGCUCAACCAUAGUUCGCUUUGGAAACUGUCAAACUUGAGUGCAGAAGGGGAGAGUGGAAUUCCAUGUGUAGCGGUGAAAUGCGUAGAUAUAUGGAGGAACACCGGUGGCGAAAGCGGCUCUCUGGUCUGUAACUGACGCUGAGGCUCGAAAGCGUGGGGAGCGAACAGGAUUAGAUACCCUGGUAGUCCACGCCGUAAACGAUGAGUGCCAGGUGUUGGAUCCUUUCCGGGAUUCAGUGCCGCAGCUAACGCAUUAAGCACUCCGCCUGGGGAGUACGACCGCAAGGUUGAAACUCAAAGGAAUUGACGGGGGCCCGCACAAGCGGUGGAGCAUGUGGUUUAAUUCGAAGCAACGCGAAGAACCUUACCAGGUCUUGACAUCCCGAUGCUAUUUCUAGAGAUAGAAAGUUACUUCGGUACAUCGGUGACAGGUGGUGCGUGGUUGUCGUCAGCUCGUGUCGUGAGAUGUUGGGUUAAGUCCCGCAACGAGCGCAACCCCUAUUGUUAGUUGCCAUCAUUCAGUUGGGCACUCUAGCGAGACUGCCGGUAAUAAACCGGAGGAAGGUGGGGAUGACGUCAAAUCAUCAUGCCCCUUAUGACCUGGGCUACACACGUGCUACAAUGGUUGGUACAACGAGUUGCGAGUCGGUGACGGCGAGCUAAUCUCUUAAAGCCAAUCUCAGUUCGGAUUGUAGGCUGCAACUCGCCUACAUGAAGUCGGAAUCGCUAGUAAUCGCGGAUCAGCACGCCGCGGUGAAUACGUUCCCGGGCCU
rnacentral:rRNA from 1 species